GAAUGCAGCCUACAGACUUUUGAAGGCAGACUACUAUGGACACUCAGUGAUAUGGAACUGAAAAAGAAGACCAGAUUUCCCAUGGAGAUGGAGAAAUUGGAAGCCCAGAUGAGGAACCAUCUCAUAUAAGCAAGCUUAUGUGUUUUGAUUUAGUGUUCAGAUAUUCUUAUCAAUGAUUUCCAGAAAGUGACAUUGAUUUGCUUUGGAAACAAUGAUGGAAAAACAGUGAAUGUGUACUGGAAUGCUUUUAGAGUUCUAAAAUCAUACUGGAAAACGUCUGAGCAUUCCAACACAGCUAUAAACAGUACCAUGCUGUAUUUAUGGGGGGUGGCAAGUCUGUUUCUAAAAGUCUUUGCGAUAUUAUUUCUAUGUUUUUAAUUUAUUGAAUUAAAGCCAGAUUUAUUCAAUUAAGAUAAUACACUUCAAGGUUAACUGCCAUUUGCUGUUCAUUUAGGCAAGCUAUUGUACAGUUAUGUAAAUUUCAUGAACAGAGACACUACUUGAGUGUCUUAAUUACAAGCAAAAAGUGUCAUUUAAAUAUGAAUUAAGUGAAUAGUUGCCUGUAUUUCCUGUUUCUGUGUUUUCUGUCUUCUUAAAAUCGAGGGGCUACCCAGUGAUCUAUACUGUGUCGUUAGAUUUUUCCAUUUCCUAUGAAAGAAAAACACCUCCACUAUGAAUAUUAUAAAAAGAAGUAGGGAAAUGUGUAAAAAUGCCAUUAUUAUCACAUUGAUUAGUACUCAGAGCUAUUUCUGAAUAACAGGGUGCCGGGUUUUCCCAGUAGGCCACUGAUAGUGAUUCUCAUAUUGCUACUGAGAUCUAAAAAUUAUUCCAGAUUUUCUAGGGAAAAUAAUUUUUGCUACAUGUGUCAUUUGCUCUAAUUCAUUAUAUAUGUGAGUUCAUUUUUUUUUAAAAUCCUCUCUUAAAACUACUAAUUUAUAACACAUCCAAAACAUUAGUUUUUCCUUACUGCAAUGCUGGGCUGUGCAUAUUUUUAUCAUUCUUUUAUCUUUGUCAAAAGAAACAUUUAUUUUCAAUUGAGAGCCGUCACAACCGUAGUUGUGUUUAGCAAAUGUGACCCGUGACCUGAUGCUUUGCUGAUUUCUGUGAAACAAUUCCCCAUGCAUCUUGGACUUACUGACCAAUACUGUUUUUGUUUAUUUCUGUGUUUUGGAUGAUUCUUGUGUAUAUAUAAAAAUGACCUAGAGACAAAUCUGGCAUUAAUCAUGAAGAAAGGCAAGGAUUCACAAUUAGUUAAUGAAAACCACACCUCUAUUCUGUUGAGUCAGUUCCCAGCUCCUGUCUCCAGCCUGGGACAUAGCUGCAGCCUGGGAAGAUAUUCCCAGUGCCCCCCAAGGUAGAUCCUGCAUCCUCCCCCAGGAGUGAGAAGUUCACUAUUCACUCAGUGCUUGCAUCAUCUUUUCCAACAUGUUCCCACUGAUACAUUAAAGGAAUUAAUUGCUCAUAAUGAUCUCACCAUCUGUUAACAGAGGUUCAUACCUACAGGCUGGUGGCAUGCGGUGGUUCUAUUCAGGGAUCAAUAGGCAAUGCUGGGCGAACGCUUUCCCACAUUGCCUGCCUUUGCACGCUGAAAGGGGGAGGAGGGCUCGGUGCCGGCCAUCUGCUCCUUGUCUUUCUGUGCGAGACCUUGAUGCGGUCCAGCACAGCUCUGAUCUGACUCCAGUCCGAUUGGAAUGUGGCUGAUCUGAGAGCCUCUCAAAGCUGUGAAAGUGAGUCAAAAGGAGAUGCCCAUUGUCCGGCAUGGCUGAAAGAAAAUGAUCACUUUAAAAUUCAUAACUCCCAGGUGCCUGCCAUCUAUUCAUGGGAAAAACCCUCUGAACUUCUCUUCAUUAAAGAGAGGGGAGUCUUGCUAAAAAGAGAGAAAAGGAAGUAGUUUGUGGGAAUGUGCAGGGGAUUUUCAAGCUAAACAAAUGAGGAAUUUGGAAUUUUUCACUUGUAUUAAAAGAACUGUGUUAGGAAGGAGAAGCCCUUAUUUGCUUAUUUUUUUUUUUUAAAGGAGAGAGGAAGCUUUCCCUGUGCACUAUAGCAACUAAUAAAGAUUUUCUCCAGAGGAAUUCAAAGAUCACCCUGUCUUUUUACUUUUUUAUUACCUGGAGCUGUGGAAACUUUCCCAUUUGAUUCAGAAUAAUGUUCUUAGUCAAUUUUCACUUCUGUUCCACAAGGGUGCAUUUUGGGUGGGAAUUUGGGGAAGAAUGAGGGUCUGGGAAAUUCCUAAAUAUGAUGUAGGACAUCUGUGGGCACAGUGAAACUCAAGUCUAUCGGCUGUUGCAUAGGAGAAGUUUCUGUAGCACGGCUACCUGCACCCAGUGGAAGUAUCUGUCAGGAAGAGACUUUUUUCUGUGUCUUGAAAAACAAAAGAGCCUUGAGGAAAUAGCAAAGAAAUAAUAAGAGAAUCUCUGUGCCUUGGCAGCUUAAGAUUCAGAGCUGAAUCUCAGAGCUGUGGGAAUCACAGGCCUGGUGGAUCUUGGCUAUUGGUCAUUGUAGACAAUUGACGUUGCAUCAGAGUCACACAGGAAUUCAAAGAGGAUUUAUGGAUUAAUGGAUUGAGAGCCAAACAAAAGUAUAAGUAGAGAGACCUAUGUUCUGUCUCUUGAAAAUCUUUUAACGCACAGAUGAUGACACUUAAGGCCCAAAGAGGUUAAGUGACACAUGCUCAGAGUCACCCAGAGUUCAUUGCAGAACCUGGGUUAUAACCUCCACUUACUGGCAAUUUUAUUUCUAACGCUUCAUGCCGCCUCCCUUGAUGGUGUGGGGUUUAAUUUAAAAUUAUUUUUGCUCAGCUUUCCAUCAUUAAAACGUAGAUCAGUAUCACCAACCUAAAGAUUUAAUAGUUCCUUUUAAAAUAUAUUCUGAGCUCUAAAGAAGAUUAUAAACACUACUAUUCAUUACUAUCACAUACAAAAUAGAAAAUUCAUCAAGUAAGGCACUGGUAUCUGACAGAAAAUAGUGCAAUAAAUAACAGAAUUUAUUGGUGAAACAGGAUGACAAAGUUUAGCUGUCUUAGACAACAAUGAACAAAUA